AUUGAACGCUGGCGGCAGGCCUAACACAUGCAAGUCGAGCGGAGCGGCGGACGGGUGAGUAAUGCCUAGGACUCUGCCUGGUAGUGGGGGAUAACGUCCGGAAACGGGCGCUAAUACCGCAUACUAUCAGAUGAGCCUAGGUCGGAUUAGCUAGUUGGUGGGGUAAAGGACUACCAAGGCGACGAUCCGUAACUGGGCUGAGAGGAUGAUCAGUCACACGGGAACUGAGAAACGGUACAGACUACUACGGGAGGCAGCAUGGGGGAAGAUUGGACAAGGGGCGAAAGCCUGAACCAGCCAUGCCGCGUGUGUGAAGAAGGGCUUCGGAUUGUAAAGCACGUUAAGUUGGGAGGCGUUACCAAAAGAAUAAGCACCGGCUAACUCCGUGCCAGCAGCCGCGGUAAUUC
rnacentral:rRNA from 1 species